GGCGCUGGGGAGCUAACCAUGGUAACCCGGCGGCCGCCCGGGACGCCGUGGCCGCUCGGCCCCCCUUUUGUCCCUCUGCGGGCCCUGGGGGCGCUGAGGGCCGGGUCCCAAGGAGGAGGGGAGCCUCCCAGAGAGCUGGCCCGCACAGAGCUUUUAAUAGCUCUGCAUUAGUGGCUCUGGGGGCCGUAACCAGGGAGGGGGGUGGCAGGGACCCGCCUCUCACCGAGCAGCCCUGAGGGAGCAGGCCCAGGUUUAACAAGCAGACGCUGAGGUAACUCCUUCCCCUGAGCUUGUUGGAGUCUUUGGGGCCUCCUGAGCUCGAGCUCAGACCCAGCCAGCAACAACUGAGCACAUCCCUUGGGCACAGAUAAAUGGGCACAGGACACGAGCGACAGUUCUUGAAAGGAGAACCUCGUGGGGAAAUGGCAGCCGUCAGUGUUGGAGACACACGGUGCGUUGUCGGUGUAGUGGGGAAAGCAAAUGAUCUGGAAUCAUGCAAAGAAAGUGGCCAAAAUGUCACGUCCUGUGAACCGGAGGCUCCAUUACAGGGUUUCCAGCCCUAGGAAGUCAUGGGUGAAAGAGGCCCCACAGACUUCCGACUAAGUGAGGAGUCCGGGGCAGCGCUUUUGGUGGUAACUGAGAAUUAGAAGCACCGAGCGGAGGCAGAACAAGCCCUGGCCCGGGGGUGCCGCGGGUGCUGCUGGGCCGGAGGAAGCGGUGCCCGGGUACAGAAAAGCCGGAGAGAACGCUACGGACGGGGCGGGAAGAGGGGAACGGAACCAAGAAAAUGAAAUACGCAGCGGCGGCAACAGUGAGAACGGCCACAGCCCAGGCUCAGACAGAAACCAAACCGAUGGUGAAGGUCAAGGACUCGGAGACCAGAGCUGAAAAGCCUCCCCGUGGGCCUUCAGGCCAGCGCAGGCCCCAAAGCCCUAAGGAGGAGGGAGCCGAGGCUGGCUCUGUCCCGCACACAGCCCUGGCUGAGGGGAGGAGGUGCUGAGGAGUCCGGGGGGUCUGCACCAGAGUCCCCCCACAGCAGUUUGGACCAGACCCCCCGCCCCGAGCAGCCUGGACCAGACCCCCCGCCCCAAGCAGCCUGGACCAGACCCCCCCCAGAGCAUCCUGUCUGCAGGACCUACCCCCGAUACCCCACAGGAGGAGACAGGGCAGGGAGGAGGCUGGAGGACAGCCCCCCCCCCUGAAGCCUCCAAGGGCCCCAAGGCCACCCUGUUUGGGGGAUUCCUCCACUGCCUCAGUAGGCUCAGGCUCAGAUUGCAAAUAUACCUGAAAGUAACUUGGGGGGUGGUCACUUCCCAGCACUGACUGGAGGGCAGGGGAGGAGUGGGGGGAGAGAAGGGAGGGGGGAGAAAGAG